rnacentral:lncRNA from 1 species
UUCAAGCCAGCAAACCAGUUCUAGUGCAGCGUCUGUAACUAUUAAUCAAGCAUCUCAAGAAGAUCGCCCAACUGUUGCUCCAACAAUUGAUUUUAUUUCAGAAGGCCCAAGCACUCAAUCAUCUGCCAGUUCAUCUUAUGAAGAUACCACCGUUGGAUCAUCAGACGUUGUAGAUCAAACAUCCAUUCAAAAUACAACACCUAGUUCUUCAGCCGAAUCUGGUUCAAUCCGAAAUUCAGAUUCAGAUUCACAGUCUUAUAACCCAGUUACUCAGCAAUCAGGUGAAGUAUCAAUAGAUGUGACCGUUGGAUCAGUCGACUCAGUUUCAACUGAAACUAGUAGCCAAGCUAGCCAAACAUCAUCACAAUCGUCCAGCAAUGUUUCAGUCUCAGUUUCAAUUACAUCUGAAGGUAACGAACCUACAACUUCAGCAUCUAGUUCUUCAACCCAAUCUGGCACUCAAUCGUCCCAGGAAUCUGGUUCUAUCCGUACGUCAAAUUCAGAUGCAGAAUCUAGUAACCCAGUUACUCAACAGUCAAGUGCAAUAGAUAUAGAUGUAACAGUUGGAUCAGUUGAUUCAGUUUCUACAGAAACUAGUAGCCAAGCUUCGCAAUCAACUAGCAACACAUCAAGUUCAGCUGCAGGUUCAUCUGGUUUAGAUGCUGUUGUUGUAUUUGUCACCUCAACU